rnacentral:rRNA from 1 species
AGCGAACGCUGGCGGCAGGCCUAACACAUGCAAGUCGAACGAACUCUCCGGAGUUAGUGGCGGACGGGUGUGUAACACGUGGGAACGUGCCUUUUUGUUCGGAAUAACUCAGGGAAACUUGUGCUAAUACAGAAUGUGCUCUUCUGGGGAAAGAUUUAUCGCCAUUAGAGCGGCCCGCGUCUGAUUAGCUUGUUGGUGAGGUAACGGCUCACCAAGGCGACGAUCAGUAGCUGGUUUGAGAGAAUGACCAGCCACACUGGGACUAGGACACGGCCCGGACUCCUACGGGAUGCAGCAGUGGGGGAUCUUGCGCAAUGGGCGGAAGCCUGACGCAGCCAUGCCGCGUGAAUGAUGAAGGUCUUAGAGAUGUAAAAUUCUUUCACCGGGGACGGUAAUGACGGUACCCGAAGAAGAAGCCCCGGCUAACUUCGUG